GUGCCCUUCCGAAAACUUGUGAACGAAUAAUGUCUCCAGAAGAUGUCUGAUGUAGUGUAAACAGUGACAGAAGCAGGCCAAGCUGCAAGGGGGGAAAAAGAAAUGAAAUUAAGAACUUCACAAAUAUGCAAAGACAAAGCAGAGUGGAAGACCACCCCUAGUUUGUUUAAAGAAAGAUGGAUUUCUGCUCUUAUUUGCUACAGAAUAUCUUCACUCAAAUGAGUAUUGCUGUGCGUGUUAAUGACCUGAAGAUCAGCCCACAAGACACUCAACUCUUCCUUACCAUCCCUUGAUGGGGCAGAGUCCAUGGUUUGGAGGAGGUGUAGAAAAUCUUCAGGGUCAGAAAAAUUCAGAAUGAAGAUUAAAACACAGGUCUGGUAUCAUCCCAGCAGCAUGCAGCAUGGAAGGAUUCCUGAAAAGUGGCUCUUUGCCUAAUGCUGUUGUUGUACUAUGCUUCUUUUAUUGACAUUAUAGGAAAGCUGAAGAGCUGCCAGGAGGUCUCAAACAAACCAGUGCAGGAUUAUUUGUAAAAAUCCUGGAGAAGACCGGGGUUGUGACCCACAAGGAAUCCUUACUGUCUCCCAGAGAAAGGAAUGAAAGUACUUCUACCACAGAAUAAGACCACAACACACUGAAAACAGAGUGCCUGAACUGGCGCCGUGAGAACCAGGCAGAGCCCCAGCGUGCCGGGAUAACACACUCACCUUGU